GGCGAUUUAGCUCAGUUGGUUAGAGCGUCGGAAUCAUAAUCCGCAGGUCCGGGGUUCAAGUCCCUGAAUCGCUA
rnacentral:tRNA from 1 species